rnacentral:tRNA from 1 species
UGUUCUGUGGCUUUGUUGGUUAAAGCGCCGGUUCAGCGAAUACGGAGUUGUGGGUUCGAAUGCCACCAAAACGC